ACCGGCGAGCCUGUGAAUGAACCGAUAGAAAUUCUAGUAGUUCUACAGAUCUUAGAAACCCUAAUUAUUAUAUUCUGUAAAGAUGGCGACUGAAGAGCCGGUUGUAGCAAUCGAGCCUGUGAAUGAACCGAUGGUCGUAGCUGAACCUGCGACGGAAGAAAAUCCACCGGCGGAGACUGAUGAACCAAAGAAAGAGAAGGAGAUCAAGGCGAAAAAAUCAUCUGCUCCGAGGAAGAGAAAUCCUCCGACUCAUCCUUCCUACUUUGAGAUGAUUAAGGAAGCGAUUGUAACAUUGAAGGAUAAAACUGGAUCGAGUCAGUAUGCGAUCACAAAGUUCAUUGAAGAUAAGCAGAAAAAUCUUCCAUCAAAUUUCAGGAAAAUGUUGCUUGCUCAAUUGAAGAAGCUUGUGGCUUCUGGUAAACUUGUCAAGGUGAAGAGCUCCUACAAGCUUCCAGCUCCAAAGGCAGCUGCUCCUGCUCUUGCUAAGAAAAAGUCCAUAGCUAAGCCAAAAGCAGCACAGGCAAAGAAGGCCACCAAGGCAAAGCCGAAGCCAAAACCAAAGGUUGCUGCUCCAAAGGCCAAAACUGCUACCAAAUCAAAAGCUAAGCCAAAGCCUGUUGUUGCUGCCAAAGCUAAACCAGCUGCAAAGCCUAAGGCAGUUGUAGCAAAGCCGAAAGCAGCUGUAAAGCCUAAAGCCCCUGUAAAAGCUAAGGCUGCUGUAAAGCCAAAAGCGGCUAAUGAGAAGCCAGCUAAGGUAGCAAGGACAUCUACUAGGUCGACUCCGUCGAGGAAAGCUGCACCGAAGCCAGCUGUGAAAAAGGCACCGGUGAAGAGUGUGAAAUCUAAGACCGUGAAGUCGCCGGCGAAGAAAGCAUCCGCCAGGAAGGCAAAGAAGUGAUCGAAUGUAGGAGGAAGGGUAGCAUUGUAAAUUUCUUGGAUCUUUGUGGGUGGUUUGUAUCUGCGGCCCAAUAUAGAAAAUAGUAUUUUAAAUUCCAGUUGUAAUUUUCGUUUUUUUUAUUUUAUAUAAUAAUCCAUUUUAGUUGAGUUUAUG
rnacentral:misc_RNA from 1 species